CGGGUGGGUCAGGAGCAAAUCUUCCUGACUGGAGUUCAGUGCUGGAAAAGACAAAAAAAUAAAGACUCUGGAUGCUUUACUGCGCCUGACACCUCGCACAGCGCCCGCUGAGGAGGCGCUCGGAGGUAACAGAGCAGAGGGAGGCCGUGCAUCUCUGAAAACCAGCUCCCGGUGACCACGGUGCUCAUCCCUCAUGCCACGUCCUAGCGUGGAAACAGUUUCAUCCUGGCUCUCACAAUGACGGGAAAAAGUUAUAACUCAAUGAAUUUUUAUUAUCUGUUUUCCACAACUCCAAUGGUUUUCUUUAUCCCUUAUUAUCUACUUUCUCAUCAAUGUAUUUAUUACUUAUUUUCUUGAGUCGAUCUCACUAUGUAGAUUAGAUUGGCCUUGAACUCGAGAGAGCUACUGUUUCUGCCUCAUGAGUGCUGGGAUUUAAUGCGUGAGUCAGCACACUGUGCCUCCUCUAUCAUUGUGACAGGGUCACACUCUUAAAUAACCCUGGCUGCCCUGGAACUUGCUCUGUAGACCAGGCUGGCCUCAAAUUCAUGCCUGUGUCUCAGGAGCAUUAGGAUCCAAAGCCUGUGCCACCAUGACCAGCAAUCAAGGCAUUAAAAAAAUUAGUCAGUGGGGCCUGGAGAAAUGGCUCAGGGCUUAAAAACACUGAAGGCGUUUGCAGAAUACCGUGGUUUGAUUCCCAGUACCCAUAUACUGCCUCCUUGUCUCUGAGGAUACCAGGCCGUUACAGAUACAUACAUGAAUAAAUUUUUAAAAGGUGUGUUGGAGGAAACAUCAAUAGUGAGUUAGACAAUAAAGUGGGAAAUGCUUCAGAUCUCAGAUGCCCUCUGAUAACAGUCUUAGCUUUUGAGUUGGUGGAAGGGAGGGCCCUGUUACUGCAUCUCAGGAUUUUACCCGAUAGUUAUAGUGAUGUUUGUUCACACACAGAUAGGUUAAAAAAUGACUAUUUAGGAGACUAAAGAUAGUCCAUGGUAAUUUGGUUUGGAGCCUGCAGCCUUCUGGCUCUACAUAAUUCUAUUCAGUCAACUUGUCUUUUAGAAUGUUGAACAAAGUUUUUUGUUUGCCCUUGGGAACAUCUUUUCAUGGAAAAAAAAAAGUCCUGCUGAGCAAAUCGGCAUUCGAAAGACUCAAAUU
rnacentral:lncRNA from 1 species